rnacentral:rRNA from 1 species
ACGGAAGGCAGCAGUGGGGAAUAUUGGGCAAUGGGCGCAAGCCUGACCCAGCAACGCCGCGUGAAGGAAGAAGGCUUUCGGGUCGUAAACUUCUUUUAAGGGGGAAGAGCAGAAGACGGUACCCCUAGAAUAAGCCACGGCUAACUACGUGCCAGCAGCCGCGGUAAUACGUAGGUGGCAAGCGUUGUCCGGAUUUACUGGGUGUAAAGGGCGUGUAGCCGGGGGAGCAAGUCAGAUGUGAAAUCUAUGGGCUUAACCCGUAAACUGCAUUUGAAACUGUUCUUCUUGAGUGCUGGAGGGGCAAUCGGAAUUCCUUGUGUAGCGGUGAAAUGCGUAGAUAUAAGGAGGAACACCAGUGGCGAAGGCGGAUUGCUGGACAGUAACUGACGGUGAGGCGCGAAAGCGUGGGUAGCAAACAGGAUUAGAUACCCUGGUA